rnacentral:rRNA from 1 species
CCUACGGGAGGCAGCAGUCGAGAAUCAUUCACAAUGGGGGAAACCCUGAUGGUGCGACGCCGCGUGGGGGAAUGAAGGUCUUCGGAUUGUAAACCCCUGUCAUGUGGGAGCAAAUUAAAAAGAUAGUACCACAAGAGGAAGAGACGGCUAACUCUGUGCCAGCAGCCGCGGUAAUACAGAGGUCUCAAGCGUUGUUCGGAAUCACUGGGCGUAAAGCGUGCGUAGGCUGUUUCGUAAGUCGUGUGUGAAAGGCGCGGGCUCAACCCGCGGACGGCAUAUGAUACUGCGAGACUAGAGUAAGGGAGGGGGAACCGGAAUUCUCGGUGUAGCAGUGAAAUGCGUAGAUAUCGAGAGGAACACUCGGGGCGAAGGCGGGUUCCUGGACAUUAACUGACGCUGAGGCACGAAGGCCAGGGAGCGAAAGGGAUUAGAUACCCGAGUAGUC